rnacentral:sRNA from 1 species
CCAUUGAUGUAAUUGUUAUUAUUUCCCCCUUUGUG